UACGUAGGUGGCAAGCGUUACUCGGAUUUACUAGGCGUAAAGCGCAUGUAGGUGGUUAUACAAGUCUAUAGUGUAAUUUCUCCGCUCAACGGGGACCUGUCUAUAGAAACUGUAUGACUUGAGUGUGGCAGGGGGAGAUGGAAUUCCAGGUGUAGCGGUGAAAUGCGUAGAUAUCUGGAGGAACACCAAUGGCGAAAGCAGUCUCCUGGGCCAAUACUGACACUGAGGUGCGAAAGCUAGGGGAGCAAACAGG
rnacentral:rRNA from 1 species